rnacentral:lncRNA from 1 species
CAAAGGCAAAAAAUGAAACCCUUCCAUUUGUGGCCUUUAGAAGUCCUUCAGAAAAUCUCUCCGGUUUGAACUCUUUAGCAUCAUCACCCCAAAGCUCACAAUCAUGGUGAACCAAAACUAUUGGCAAGGAAAUCUGCACUCCAGCAGGUAAUGAUAGGUUUCCAAGUUUCACAUCUUCGUUAACUUUUCGAGCAAGACCAACUACUGGUGGGUAUAACCGAAGAACCUCAUUCAAAAUCAUGGUAACCUGUUGCAAAAAUAUUCAUAGUAAAAACCAAGGGCAUACUAUUCAAUAUAAAGAUGAUAAUACAAACUUACAAUCUUAAGGUGAUUCAGUCCUUCAAAAUUUGGUUUUCGGUUGCCAAAAACUUGUAAGACUUCCUCCCUUGCGCGUGUUUGCCAAUCAGGGUACAUACUCAACAAAAUCAUUGUCCAAACAAGCAAAACUGAGGUGGUCUCCUGCCCUGCAAAGUAGAAUAGCUUGCAUUCCUCAAUAACUUCCUCAAGAUUCAUUCCAACAUUCUUAUUUCCCUGUUCUUGAAUUUCCUUGUGGUUUGACUCCAGAAGUAUAUCUAACAAGUUAUUUUUAGUGGCUUCACCCGCCUUUAGAGCUGUCUCUCUCUUGUUAAUCAUAUCCAUAAGCGAAGCUUCUAUAUCUUUGUUGAUUUCCUUCAUCCUUCUAUGUGUAGUAGUAGGUACAAACCUACACGUGAACAUAAUCAGUUCUGUAUUAAUCCUGUUCGCAAGGCAAUGCUCUUUUCUAUAUCAACUAGACUUCCAAUGGUAGUUCUGUCAAUAGUAAACAUAGUUUGAUUUCACAAGCUGCAAUUGUGAGAUAUCCCUUUACGUCACAAAAUUUAGUAAACUGGUUGUUGUAAAAAAAAAAAAUCAUUGAUUCUUAACUAAAAUUAUUAUUUUCUAAUCACAAUAUAUAUGAAAGUUUGCUAAGGUUAGUUAGUUAAAUAAAGCUCAUCCAAUGAGCUUGAUCACUUAAGUCUAUCAAGUAGUCAUAUAUACAUAUUAGUCUUACCUCCAUCCAGGUAUGUUAACUUUCAAGAAAGUUUGUAUUGUGAGUUCAGUUUGCUCUUUUAAAAGUUGAAAUAUUCUUCUUCCUUCUUCAUAACUACUUCCAAAUGCUGUUCGAGAAAUAACAUCACUAGCCAAAUUCUGAAAGAAAGGCCAUAUGUCUGUUUCACUCGUUCCAUCUGAAGACAACAUUCCCUCCCAUUUGCUAAUCAGAUCAUCACAACAUUUGAUGAAUAGUGGUAACAUAUUCUGUGGUGUAAUGAAGAAAUAGCAAGGUGUUAAAAUACGCCGUGUCAACUUAAGCACAAACGUUCAGACAUUGCAUCAUGUUACUUAUAGACCAACUGAUGUUGCUUGCAAAAGUAUGUGUUGCAGCCUUGCAGGCUAAACUAACUCAAGCUUUGCCAUACCAAAUAUUUGUCUUGGUUGCAAGAGAAUACAUUUUUGGGGAGAGUAAUUUUCACGUGCAUAAUUAAAUGCAUACACACACACAUGUUGGAACAAAUUUAUGUUUUCCUGACUUGUUAUUGAAAGGUAUAGUAGUCAAUAUAUAAUAUCUAUAUCUAGUAAUUGGAAACUAACCUUCAACUUUUCUAAAUUGAAUGCGGGGUUGAUUAUCUUUCUGUGCUUGCUCCACUUUUCUCCCUCAUGGCUUACAAGACCAGGAGCUAGUAACCUAACAUGCGGAUUCAUAUCAGGCUUUCCAAAGUCAUAAAUCUUGUUGAGUACAUCUUUGAUUUGCUCAGGAUCUGUGAGGGUCACCCUUGGUAUUGGCCCAAACCAGAUAAAAGAAUUUUUGCCUACAUACCAUCAAUAACAAUAAGAAGAAGACUUAAAAUUAAAUAUGAAGGAGAAAGAGAAAAUUUUCAACAAUUGAAGAGAAUGGGCAAGUUUGUGUGUGCUAUUUGAAUUUGACAUGAAUUACAAACCAUGGCAACUGUUGAUACAAACUACACAAUAAGGUUAGUCAAACAAGUUGUCUUUUUAAAUUAUAGGAAAUCAAAGGAAACCCCUCUCUACCAUGCAAUAGAAGGACUCUAAAGAAAACUGAAAAUUAUAUCCCAAUUCUGGGAAGGACCAGCUCCUUACUCAGAUAAACACAAGCACCAAUUAGGAAAAUUCUUCAAUCCCUCCUUAUUUGGUUACCCCCCUACUAAGACAUUCCCUGCAUUCCAUUGGUCCAUUUAGUUAUGCCUUCCGUCUCUCCUCCUUCCACUCUUUCAGCUGCCACCUAUGUUUUCUCUCUCAUAUACCAGAAGGCCAUCUUCAGGACCAUUGUUCUCCUUUUUUUCACUCUCUACUCUCCCAACUCAUAAGUCUAUACUUUAGUUAGCCUUUAAUAUCUGAACCGUCUAUGCAAUGUUUGUAUGGCCAAAAUUUAUUCCUCUCACAUUAAUACAAAAAUGGACACCAUAUACUAGGCUUCUAAUUGAUUUUGUAAAAAUUUUAAGCAUAUAUUCCCAUAUGCACAAUCUAAACAAACAUAACACAAUACAUAUGGGACUGUAAAAUGAUCUUGAAAUAGAAAGAUAGAAAAAUGGAAAUCACUCAUUACAAUCUGAGACUAAUAUCUACCAAUAAGCUUGCAACAUAGAGUGAAAACAGAAAAGAAAAUAACAGGAACAAAUUCCUCCCAGGUGUUCUCAUGGUCAGGCAGAUUAUUCCAUUUGAUGAGAAUUUCAUUUGAUCCAUUGAGCAGCUUCCUGAUGGCCAGCACCUUUUUAGGAGUCACUAGUAAUUCCUAAUCGUCUGAGAGGAAUUUGGAGAGUUGUUGGAAAGGAACAUCAACAGCCACUGCUUUCUUUAGUUGGGAGACAUGGAAAAUUGGAUGUACUUUUAGUUUCCAAGUGCAGUUCCAGCUUGUAAGCCACUGGCCCUACUAUCUCAAUAAUGGCAUAAGGACCAUAGAACUUAGAACUCAGCUUUUCAUUGACCCCUUUUUGCCAAAGACCUCAAUGGUUGAGCUUUCAAAUAAAUCAAGUCCCCUACCUGAAAUCCAACCUCUCUUCUUUCUCUAUUUGCAUUCUUUGCUUCAUCUAAAUCUUUAACUUCAAGUUAGCAAUUUCAUUCAAAACUUUGUUCUUAUGUGCUCAAAUUGGCAAUUGCGAUCCUUCCUUUCCCAUUCAAAAGAAAAGACCAAGCAGAGAAUUCAUACGAAUAGAAGCACAUCCUCAUGCAAGGACAAAUACUUCUGUGCAAUAUGGUUUCCUCUUUUUUAUGCAUAUUUAUACCUUUCCUACCUGUACCUUUGCCUCAUUAUACAAAAAAGGAAUAAAGCAUUAAUCUGUUUUUGUUUAAAUUUUCAUACCUUGAAUUUUUUCCUAUGUUCUUGUUCUUCAUCAGUUCAUCCAUUCUAUCAUGUGAUGUUGAAUUCUAGAUGAUUGAACACGCACUUAGUUCCAUGUCAUUCGUAAUGAUAGGCAUCUUCAAAAUUUGAGCAUUCAGUUACCAAUGGAAUGAGACUGGUGUUGAUUACAUGCUUCAAUGUAAAGUACAAAAAGUAGUUUGGUCUAACUAGCUUUAGUAUUCUGAUUGGUCUUAUCUCAAAUUAUUGUGAUGGUUAAGUAAAUGAACAAAAAUUAAAUUUUGUCUAUGUAGACUUAAAAGUAUUAACAGAGAAAAGUUUGGUAUCUAAAGUGUCCCCCACAGAGAUUAGUUUGCACUGCUGCAAGUGUCUCUUGAAAAAGUAGGAGUUAUAGGUAUUAUUGAUCUAUAAGUCUAAAUGCCUAAAACUAACCAAUAAAAUUUGAAAUACCAGCUUAUCAAUUAAAUCCACUGUAGCUGCUUCGUAGCUUUUGGAGUUUAUCAACCUAGUGGGCACUCAAUCAGUGUAUAUAUUAUCACCCUCAUGGGUUGAAGUUCAAACUUCUAACCCUGUUAUUUUUCUAUGUUUCCAGCAUAUUUACAUAGCCGUGUUUUGGAAGAGAACUUUUUAGCUGUAGUUUGUUAAAUUCCUCCUUCUGCUUUUGUUAUAUGGGUAAAUGACAAUUUUGGUCCCUGAAUGUGGAAAUUAGUAACAAUUUAAUCCUCUCUAUAUGAUUUAAUUCGGAUUUAAUCCUCUCUAUAUGUAUAUUUUUAAUUAAAUUCCAUGUUAUCAAUGUACUUUACAUAAUCCUCUCUAUAUGAUUUAAUUCUGAUUUAGUCCAUAAAACACUUGUUAAUUAUUAUUAAUUUAUAGCAACUGGAACACCAAUUCAGUCGGCCUUUUAUGCUGAAGUUUUGCAGCUAUUUUGGCUAUUGAAACGGCUAAGGAAAGGAACUUUCAUCCUCUUUAAUUGGAGAUAGAUUCUUCUCUUUUAGUUCGAACCUUCUCUCAUCCAGAGAGCGUCCCUUGGCCUUUGUAUAAUCGUUCGUUAAAUUGUAUUAAUCUAACUAGAACUUUUAGAUUUAAGAUUUCUCACAUUUAUAAGGAGGCACACACUUGUGCACACAAUCUUGCCUCUUUUGGUGCACAGUUGUUGGGUUACACUUGGUGGGACAGCCCCCCUUCUUUCAUUGCUCAGGAGCUCCUUAGGGAUAGAAUGGGGCUCCCUUCUUAUAGAUUUUGCUAGAUUUGUCAUCCUUGGGUUUGACUAUAUGGAUCAAUCUACUACAUUGAACUUGAUCACUAUGCCUCCACUGAUUAGUAGUGUAAUAACUUUUUCAAGACAAAAAAGGAAAAAAAAGAAAGAAGAAAAGAAAUAAGAUACAGGUCUGCCUGUAUUUUUUUGUCUUACCAAUAAAGGGCAGAGUUCUCUUCUUAGCUUAAGCAAUUUGAUGGCACCCUUUAAUUAUUAUGCUACUACAAUUAUUAUGUUCCUUUGGUUUGCACAUAUUGAAGUAGUAAUUAUGCUAUGCCCACCAAUAAAGCUAAUUAGUAUAGUUUGAAAAGUGGAGGAGCUUAAAAAAAAAAAACUAUAAAAGUCAACUCUCUCUCUCUCUCUCUUCAUUCUCUUAUCUAUCUCUCUUCGCACUCUCUCUCCCGGAGGCAAUACGUUAGCUGCUCCACGAACUUCGAUGAUAUUUACUCUUAAUUUUAAAGUGUAGAUACUUGCGGAUAACUGGAUAAGGUACCUUUACCUAUCGUCCUAUCCCUAUCCCUCUAAUGUAUAUACGCGUAGAGAGAAAAAUUCAUCUACUCGAUCCCCGAUUACAUGCUAAGCAAUCCAAAUCUAAUUUCCCAUGCAUUAUUUUGUCAUGUUAACAAUUUCAAAACCGAAGAGUAGAAGGAAUAAUGAGAAACAUAAUACCAUGCUUGUUGACAGUGUGUUGGAUAAAGGAUAACACGCGCGGCGCUAUGUCAUGAGAGAAGAGAUUCAUGGGUUUGGAUAAGGCUUCAUUUCGCAUCUUGCCAAACUCCUUCAAGUCCCCAACAAAAAGCGUGUAUGAGUUGCCUUGAAGGCCUUGUUCUCUCAGAAGCCUUUCAAGCCUCUUUGGCCUCAGCCAUAACCAGUUCAGCAUCUUCCAUGCCCAUAUCAUAAUGAUCAGUAGUAGAAUUAUUGUCGGCCAUGAUGCUGCUUCCAUUUCUCUCUCGGUGGAGAAAGUUGAUGAACCAUGAAACAAAGAGAGAAGAAGAUACUUCAUAUAUUCAUGGCAAGUUUUUGCGUGUCAAAGCCAAACUCCUUAGGCACCUUGCGUAAGUAACUUUUUCAAUGGUUACCAUCUUAUUUCGAAAACGAAUGGCUAGGAUUAAUUUUAUAAAUCCGGUUGCAACUACUAUCAUAGAUAAAAGUACAGCAGGCAGUAGGUUAAGCACAUUUUCUAAUUAUUUCAUAAAAUAUUAUUAUUCAAUACAAAAAUAACCAAUAAUUAAUUUCUUCAUUAAUGUUGAAUGUAACAAAAAAAUUUAAAAAUUUCAUUUAAGACUUUACACUUUUUUCACAAGCAAUAAGUAUAAGUAGAAUAUUUAGAAAAAAGUUUAAGCAGAAUAUCACUUUACUCAUUUUUGUAUUUGUAAUUUAAGAAAAAAUACUUGCACUCGUUCAAACUAGAAACAUUGUAAAACCAGUGACAAAAAAAUCUUUGCUUCCAACAAGGAAAAGUUUUGUUCGAUGCAUAUUUUAGGUCUCCUCAAAACCGAAAGAAUUUAACUCUGCCAUUUGUCGCCUUCAGAACUCAUUCAGAAAAUCUCUGAAGUCUGAACACCUUAGCAACAUCACCCCAGAGCUCACAAUCAUGCUGAACUAAAAUUGUUGGUCUACAACGAAAAUAAUUUAUACCUACCAACAGAAACCGUCACAAGAAGUAGGUAAAUGGAUGAUAGGCUUUGACCUGAGAAUAAUUUUGGUGUCAACUUUCCAUAUGAAUGUAUAAGAAAAAAAAAAAGUAAAUGGAACAAACUUUUCUAUAAGAUAAAACUAGCUUAUAUAUAAGUUGAUUUAUAAAACGUCUCCUAUAAAGGGAUCUGUAUAUCAGUUAUAUUUGUUAGCAAUUUCCUGCAAUUAAUGUCAAACAUUGACAAUAACAGUAACUAAUUGGAACCAUAAUUUAAAACCUUGAUAGGUAUAUAUAGAUAGCUAAAUUUGUGUGCUUACAAGAAAUCAUAAGCAUUUCUUACAUUAAUACUAAAGAAAAUAAACUAAUAAUACUUAUAUGAAAAGGUUUGUGUCUAUUGAAUUUCUUGAGAUAUUAUUACAUUAUAAACUUUUCAAGAGUAUAAUACAAACCAAACAAUAUGAGCUAAUUGUUAAUUUUUUAUAUUUCCACCUUUCUUAGAAUGAGAUGAGCACCAUAUUGGGGCUGAAGAGUAAUAACGGUAGUUGGAGCAUGAGUAUAGGUUGGAGAAAGUCCAAACAAGAAACGUUGUAGAAUCAUCGACAAAGCAAUCUUUGCUUCCAAAAAGGAAAAGUUUUGUCCGAUGCAUAUUCUAGGACCCCCUCCAAAGGCAAAAAAUGAAAACCUUCCAUUUGUGGCCUUUAGAAGUCCUUCAGAAAAUCUCUCCGGUUUGAACUCUUUAGCAUCAUCGCCCCAAAGCUCACAAUCAUGGUGAACCAAAACUAUUGGCAAGGAAAUCUGCACUCCAGCAGGUAAUGAUAGGUUUCCAAGUUUCACAUCUUUGUUAACUUUUCGAACAAGACCAAUUGCCGGUGGGUAUAACCUAAGAACCUCGUACAAAAUCAUG